CACAAUGGGCGAAAGCCUGAUACAGCAACGCCGCGUGUGCGAAGAAGGCCUUCGGGUCGUAAAGCACUUUUCUGAGAGAUGAGAAAGGACAGUAUCUCAGGAAUAAGUCUCGGCUAACUACGUGCCAGCAGCCGCGGUAAAACGUAGGAGGCGAGCGUUAUCCGGAUUCACUGGGCGUAAAGCGCGUGCAGGCGGUUCGGUAAGUUGGGCGUGAAAUCUCCUGGCUCAACUAGGAGAGGUCGUUCAAUACUACCGGACUUGAGAGCGGUAGAGGAAGAUGGAAUUCCCGGUGUAGUGGUGAAAUGCGUAGAUAUCGGGAGGAACACCAGUGGCGAAGGCGAUCUUCUGGACCGUUUCUGACGCUCAGACGCGACAGCUAGGGUAGCAAACGGGAUUAGAGACCCCGGUAGUCCUAGCCGUAAACGAUGUGAACUUGGCGUCGGUGGGUUAAACUCCAUCGGUGCCGCAGCUAACGCGAUAAGUUCACCGCCUGGGGACUACGGCCGCAAGGUUA
rnacentral:rRNA from 1 species